UUUAUAUUUUUAUUAUUUUAUUGUUUCCCUUCUACGUGACUUUACCGAAAGAACCAAGACUAUAAACUAAAACUAAUUUGUUUUAUUUUACCAGGUAAAGCCCACCGAGCUAUCAGAGGCGCUGUGGCCACACAUGAUGAUAGCUCAUCAUGGCAGUGGCUGAUAUCAUCAUCACCUGACGUGGGAAUAAUUCAUAGCGGCAGACAAAUCAUGUGAGCGUGCGUUGUUUCUCAACGUGGAGGGAAGCAAAACUGGAGGGACCCGGAAAUCGAUCCACGCUUUGACCACCACGGGGAGAGAGAGAUCACGCAGACUCCAGAUAUACAACAACAGGGAUCGCCAGGGCCCGUGAUCGAACGCACGUCUUCCUGCGAGCAGGCGGGUUUAUUACUUAACAUUCGCAGAAGGUAUUCGAUUCCCAUUACAUAAGUGAAUUAUAUUAUUGAGUUGUUUUCCUAAAAAAAAAAUUACAUUUAGUUAUUUGCACCAUAAUUCAUCACGCUAUUGCUACCCGUCGUAAUAAAUUACAAUCGUUAAAUCAGUCCAAUAACCGGAUGAAAGUCCCCUCCCUUGCAGUCGUGGGGUCAUCGUGGUUGUUCCAUCGCCGCACUUUUGCCGAGGCCGUGCGACCAAUUUUCCCGGCGAUAGCCUUUCGCGCGGAUUCAUUGCAUCAGCGCGUCCGCGAUCUCGAGCGCGUGUUCCUUUUAUGCGCUCGCCAAAAUUAAUUCCCCGCGGCAAAGCGGCGGCGGUGUUUUCGUGAUCAUGCGUGCGUGGGGCGAGCUGAGAAGUCAAUGGGCCAGCGGCUAUUGUUACAACAGCGCAGCGCGUACUGAUUAAGAAGGGGGCUAUGGCACACAACAGAAACCUGCGAUUUCGACUGCAUCGCCUCCGCCGAAUAGCGGGGGACAAAAGGGGAGCUGCUGUAUUGAGUUUCUCGUGUAGCUCGCAAGAAAAGUGAGAGCUUGGAGACUGGUUGAUUGUUUUUUUUUUAAACAUAUUUAAAAUUACACCGCGAUGGAAUUUAUAACAUUUGGGCAAUAAAAGGGUCACGUGUAGAUUGUAGAUUGUACGCAGGUUUAAGAUGUUCUCGUGGGGUUAUUGCGUGCGCGCGAUCUUCUGCAUCGCGAUGAUUUUUCUCUCGCCGAACGCUUUAAAGUUCUUGGGGACGCUUUGAUAAAAACAAAAACAACGAAAAAAAAACCCUUGAACUCCUGUUAACAUCAGUGUCAAGAGGCAGACGUCACUCUGGGUGUUUUAUGCAAACGUCCGCUGUCCUUGGUCCUGUUUGGCCACCGAGGCAGGCGUUAUUUUUUUUUUUAAACCCCACUCCACUCGGUCACGAUUAUUCCACCCCGAGCAACACACGAAGGAGAGACAGCGGAGCAAUUUGGUCGCCCAAACGGCCUCAGAAAGUCGCCGUAAAUCGUUGCCUGAGGUGCAGCGGGGGCAUUUUUUUGCUGAGGUCUAUAGAGCGAUGACGGAACGUUAGGAUGUCACUGCCUGUGGAGUAACUUCCAGUUGAAAUGCACAGUAUGGACAGGGCGGAGGUGGUGGGGUUGUUGGUGGGGCUCCUUGCUCGAUCCGGCCUGAUAGUCUUCUCCGAUUGGCCACACACUCAUCGCGCUCUCGUCCACCAUACAAAGACAAAACGAUCGCGACGCUUACACGCAGCGACGACGGUCGUGAUGUAUAAAAACAAAAAUGUGCUACGUGUGGACCGGGCUUUAGAAUCUUCGUCACGAUUGCCUGCGCAUUUUAUUGGGAACGCGGGUAGGCGCGAUAAAAAAAAUGUUGCGACCGUGACCGCUCGCCGUUUAAUCGCUUUUGCCAACCUCUCGCGGUCACGUGCGGCACUGAUCCGGUUGGGACGAUGGUGGUGGUGAUGGGGGUGGUGGGGGGUGGUGGUGGUGGUGAUGGUGGGGAUGGUGGUGGUGGUGAUGGUGGGAACGAUAGCGGCAGGACACCGGCAAGUGGCACCUUGCCAACGCAUCAGCCGUCCAUGUGUUGGGUUGACGUGAGCGACGGGUUCCCGGCAAAUGACCGAGUCGCCACUGGCAGCCGCUGGCAGCUGCUGGCAGCCGCUGGCAACCGCUGGUAGCUGACCAUCGCCAAUAAAGUUCACUCACAGUGCGACGGCAGCGGUCAAAAGCGACCGAUGGCUCUUGGGCCGCGUCGACACCGAUACCUCCUCUUUCUCCUCUCUCUCCACUGCACAACCGAGCCAUACCGGGACCGGGCUGGGGCCGGGCAAACCCCUUGCAGUACUUGGGAUGCAGCAGUAGUCUUUUUUUCCCCACUUACAGACACCAAAGCGUGCCACUAAAGUAGAACAUUUGUUAAGUUUACUGACAGCAUGCAGUACAAUGAGAAUGAGUAACCCCCUCCUCCUGGCCCCGCUCGGACCCGAGUCAGAUUCGGAUGUGUUCUUGUGAGGUUAUGGCUCGGCUUUCGCAAAUUUCCAGUGAAAAAUCGCCCGUACCGAGAGGUGUCCCGUGCUAGCGCGGCUCGGAUAUGUGCCAGUGAAAAGAAAGAGGGGUGUCAGGUGUGAAGUCUUUUACAGUUUCGUUCGAGAAACUGCAUUCCAGAAGCUAGAUAAUAUUGUGCAUGAAUACCCCACCCCUCCCAGCCUCCCAUUAGAAGCAUUUUGUUCAAAAGUGUAUGAUAUGCCUUCAUUGUACAAAGCAGGUUUUAUACGAGACAAGUUUGUUGUCUUAAAUGCCUUGAGCUCACAUCCCGAGCUGUUAUCAGACGUAGAAUUUUUUUCCAGACUUUUUUGACGAAAUCUGGCCCGGUCUGCCGUGAAAAAAAAAGGCCGGUCUUGGGUGUGUAUGUGUGUGUUUUGUUUUUCCGUGAAAGAUUUUGUUUAAAAAAAAAACUGCACUAAGUAAUUAAGACGUAUUUUUUUUAAUACACGCAUAUAUAUCUCUAUUAAAAAAACACUGUUAAAGUGGUAGUGGUUCACCGUUCGGUAGGAUCCACGGACCUUUUUUUCGUAGGACCGCGUAGUUAAAGGCACUCGCGUUAACAGAGUGCUGUCACUUCGUUGUGGUGGUGGUGGUGUUGGUGGAGGGGUGGAUGAUCGUCCACGUGUUUCGCCUGCGGCACACCCUCGUGGUUCGCGAUGGAGGGAUGCAAAGCUGAAACUGUAUAUGCAGACGAGCAAAAUAUUUCUGGAGCGAAAACGGUCGCCGUGAAGCGAACGCGGGGCGGGUCAAGUUGGGAGGUCAUUUGUGGCUAUGGCCGACGAUCCUGCUUCCCAUCUGCUUCCAUCUUUCCAUGCAUCCGUCUGUCAAAUCUCGGGGCUGUUGGCACGUCCGCUCGCCGACCUCCCAAGGACCCCUGUUACGAGCUCGUUAUCAUCACCAUCAACCAUCAUCUUCUUCAGCUGGCUUCAGGUGAAAUGUCUUUCAAGGACCUCUCUUACAGGUCCUCCACCGCCUGGCUGAAGGUCUUCCCCUUGUUGCUCAGUCGACAAAUCCUUCAAGAACCACUCUCACAGUCUCUCGCCAAUCAUCAACAAACAUCCGGUUGUAGGUCGUCCAGUUUUUUUCUUCGAAAUAUGAUUUGUGUUCCAAGGAACCACUCUUUAACAGUCUCGGCAUCAUCGUCGUUGUCGUCGUUGUCGUAAACACUGUCUGGAUUCAGGUCUUCCCAUUGAUACAACUCCUUCAAAGACCGCUCUUACAGCCCCACCACCAUCACCAUUUGGCUUUCGGUCUCGGCAGAAGAAGAGAACGGUUCAUAUCCAAAAGAUACUCUCUCCAUGAACAUUCUCGAAAUGUGUUUGCAAUAAACUCUGUGGCAUCAUUUUUUUCUCGCAUUGAAAUCGCCCAAGCGAUGUCUCUUGUGACUGGGCGACACUAAGUGUAAAAUCGUGCCAUUCUUCACGAGUUUAUUCAUCCUUCACGCUUGUGAUUAGAAAUCUAGUUGUGUUUUUUUUAAUACCGUGUUUGAGUGCCCCAUAUACCCAAUCACAAUUGUGUCAAGUGUUUAAAGCUGCCAUGAGUUUAUUAUAAUAAUCAAUGUCUCCGACCUCGGGUGGCGCUCGGUCACCGUUGGCAGUCGGAAUUUCCACAUUCCUAUGGCAGAGACAAUAUGACAAACACCGUCGACUUCCCACAAAGUGGAACUCGCUUUAUCCAUCUAACAGUUUGAUGAUGAUAAUGAUGAAUGGGUGGAAUUUGACACGCUACUACAACAACAACAAUAUAUAAACUUCACGGCUUUUCACACGGUUUCUUUGGCCACGGUUAACCCAGGGUGCUUUUUCGUGAGCCCGGAAAUAUUCUGUUGAGCUCUCUCAUGUCGAGAGGGCGAUGCAAGGGGAUGCCCGCACGCGCGUGCGAGCGUGUGAGUGUGCGCUCGUCGGAGGUCGGUUGGGAAGGGAUUUGAGAAAGCGACCGUGGGAGGUGCUGUGGGGUUUUUUUUGGGAGGGACCGUGUGGGGAUGGGGGAGGAGGGGGUGAGGGUCUCACGCCAGCGCUAUCGGUGGACGCGUGCUCUGACAGGAUAAAAGAAAUCCGCGACAGAAUUAAUGAUAAAUGACGCUAAUGCAGAAGGAAGCCAGUCGGCGUCAAGGGGCGGCCUAAUAUGGGGCUUUUUAGAUCCACGGAAUCACGUGUGACAGGAAUCACUUUACCGAUUUCAAAAGUUGUAUUCAAAAUGUCACAGCUCGAUCCAUGCUUGAUCCAUGCUCGAACGCAUAGACACAGGAAGUGUAAUCAGUCGAUUCCCGUAAAAAUACGUCGCUUUUUGUUCCAAUAUUCCUCAUAUGGGCAAAUGCCACGUCCAAUUACUUAAUAUACGGGCGUAAAACAUGAACAUACGUUAUCAUUCAUUCUAUCGCGGAUUCAUUUUAUCCUGUUACAGCUCUUUCUGCCUCUCUGGAAAAGUCGCUGCCCUCCCCUCCCCCACCAGAUUUUGUUCACGCGCGGCGAGACAAUUCGAGAGAUUCGUGGCACGUGGACGCCUCUUUGCCGUGCGCGUUACAAACUGCUGCACCGACUCAUCACUUCUUGAUCUUCUCUUUCGCCGCCUUUCUUUGUUGGCAGACUUUAAAACGGAUGAAUUUCCCCCACGAUCCGCUUCGAGUUGCUCGCAAAAAAAAAUAGUCGGGAGACUUUUUGGGAAACGCUGUACAGCAACGUAUUUUAAGCUUUCAAUUUUUGUUGUUGUUGUUCUUCGUUUCGUUUACCGCGUUGUGAAUGAAUGUACGAUCAUUCGCCGACAUAAUUGGAGUCAAGCCAGGGCCACCUCCCUUCCCCCGAGUCCUGACCAACUCACGGCGUCUUAUAAACGCCGCAAGGGUCGUUUUCGAGAUAAUAUUUGUCGCAACUCGUGGCCUGCCAGGCUUGUGAGGUUUCGUUGAGGGGGGUUUCUAUUGCUCUGGCGCCUGCUUGUCGUGUCACGUGUAUAAGCAAGCACAUUCCGAAAUGCCAACCACAUUCUACCACUUGUUGAGGAAAGGUUCUUCAGAUGAAUGUACGGUAUCCGUGUUUGUGCUCUUACCGGUCCAAGGAAUGUCACCGACACUUGCUGUGGGCGGUCGCAGAAUAUUGAAUAUUUGUGGAUUAACUACUGUAUAUGUACGCACGCCAACCCACUCAUUGCCUUCGUGGUUAGUACUACAUGUACGUAUGUACGUUGAACUUCUUUCGCACCGAACGUAGCCAACCGUGCUCAUCGGAGGUACAGAAGGGUUGUUGACCAUUAAAGCGCUUACACUGAUCUGUGACAUAACGCGACAGCUUUAACACAAAUAUCCAGAAGCCCCGACACGUUAAACGAUCCUCCAAUAUAUGCCUCUUUGAUGAUUUAGGUCGAGUUGUCACGAGUUGCAGACGAAGUGGCGAAGUCGAGCUGGCAAGCUUGCCGUGGGUCUAAAGUUGAACGCGCAUUCGUGCGUUCAACUUUAAAAUCGACGUGACCUUCUUGACGAAACUGCAAUUUUCUGGUUGAGCUAAAAGAAAAAAAAAUGUCCCAAAAUAAUGGGGGGGGGGAGGGGGAGGGAUUUCAAUUGUCACUCCAACAUGUUCGUAACGUUUACCAAACGGGCAAUUGUACGCAUCAGGAACUUAGCGCCGUGGGAAUCAGACACGGGUGGUUUGGAGAGAGAGAGAAAAAAAACAUUUUAUUGACCCUUAUUGAACAUGUAAUAAUUUCAAGGACCGUUCACUCUUGCGAUCUCACCACCACGAACACCGCCAUCAUUUUACUCUAGCUCCCUGCCUCCCCUCUUAACAGAAGCAAUCAAAACACAUCGCAUGACGAUGAUAAUUCCCAAACAUUGGCGCCACUUUCUCCGCUGUGUUAAGGAAGAAUUGGCUCACAGACGCACGCACCGCGACCCCCUGCCGUGAGAGCCGAGGUCAGCAUUAAGAGAACGCGCGCGCGCGCGCCCAAAGGACUCUGCACAGGGCACUUCAACUCUGGGCUUAUUUUCCAGGCCCGCCGCACGUAAAACUCCCCACGUGCGGUUUUUUUUCUUCUUAUUCGAGUUGGGCCACGUGUGCGUCGAGCGAUUUCCAGAACGCUCUCCGCCAUGCGCUACUGCCAAGGUGAUGGCGGUGGUGGUGGUGGAGGGGAGGGGAGAGGUGAGGGCAUCGUCAGGAGUUUGAAUUAUUAUAAGCCCCGAAGCCCCACACCCACGGAACGCUCCGCGUGAAACCCUCUGAAGCUGCUUCGUCGAACGGAAAGCUUUAACAAUGUGACGGGGGACUGUGAUCAUACGGCGGACAGCGUAAAUGCUUUAAAAAAAGAGAGAGAGAGAAAGAAACGGAGUUUAUUGAAUUGUCGCCGGUUAAUGGUUUUGUGAAUAUUAAUUCUUGAGUCACUGCACUAGUGAUUUAUUUUGAUGUGCGUGCGCGCGUGUGUGUGUGUGAAUGUGUGCGCGUGCGUGCGUGUCCAUGUGCGUGUGUGUGUGUCACGUGCUGCCAGAACCUCUGGUGUGGUAAUUGUUAUUCUAACUGUUCCUGUCAGGUGAAUUCUCGUUCACUCCCCCGUUGAUUUAAAUGUGUGUUGUGCCUGCAAUUUCCUUAAGGCAUUUGUAACUUAAAUGUCUCAGACGACUACUCCUUGUUCAUAGGUGCACCCAAAGCCAGGACUUUUCAGGUGUUCGACCCAACUGAUGUCAUCAUUGUUAUUAUUGCCAUUGCGGUGAGCUAAUCUGCUUUGAUUUGGUUUGGUGGAGUCGUGGUGCGGUACCGUGUAAAAUCCUGGGUUUGGAAAGAAAUCUUUAUUUUGUAAAAACAAAAAAAGUGCGUUCUUCUACAGUUGUGUGGUUAUGGGGGCAGUAAAAAAUACUGAUCGUGGAUUCUCAAUCCGUGAACGUGGCAGGGGCAUUUAUUUGCAGGCGAGCGAUGCCCAAGUCACGCACAGUCGCACACGUGCGGCAUACAAUGGUAAAGAGAUUUGUCAUUCUGCGCCAUCGCCAGCCAUUAUCCACCCGUGCUCCAUCCACCGCUGGAUGAAUUCCCUCCCCAUAGCGUGCGCUCGCGCGUCCCACGCGGCGCCACAACAUGCCAUGCCAUCUCGCGCUCCGCGGAAUCCUGAACUCUCAUCGCUCCGUCUCAACCGUGGCGGGCGUCCUUAACUCUUGGGAAUGGUCUCGUUCAUUUUUUUGGCUGCCGUCGUUAAGUGCAGCCCCCCGCCCACCCACUGCCAGAGCCACCUCGAACUCCCGUCAGCGACGCAAUGCCCUCCUUUGUGUCUUCGCUUUCUGAUCCACGCGUCGCUUUCCUUCCGUCUCGGUGGCAUUCCAAGCGUGCAUUUCCAACCUCCCAUCCCAUCCCAUACCCGGUGCUUGUCCUGGCAGCCACAUCGUCGUCGGCUUUGUGUCAGCCUCCGUCUCGUUUCGGAUCCGUGCAUCGUAGCCAAGAGCAUUCGUGGAUCACGGGCCGUCCUUCUUCCCUCGGUCGCAUCGAUGCAUUGCCGUUCACGAUGGAGCUCACUCCUGCCCCUUGUUUUGUUACUUGGUUUCAUACGACGCACGUUCAUUUCUUUCACCCCCCCAACGUUACUCACAACCGGAAAACAUCACGAAGUUUACGACCACUAAACACAUUCCCACAUUAGAUGAUAAUAAUAAGUUGUAAUGAAUAAAAUGUUACGCAAAGCCGAACACACAAAAGUUUAUUGAAGGUGUAAGUAAUACUACGAGUGGUCACGUGAACAUUUUGAUUUAAAAGUAAAAGUGGUGUCUAGCUCUCCACAGUCCUAGACAUUCCACGUUGCUAUGGUGGGGGUGAAUACAUCCUAUGAGAUACACCUCUGUUGACUGCCGUCAAUGUGGCAUUCGCUUGAUCAACCUCGAACGGACGACGAUAAUGAGUUAAUUCGACCCCACCGGGGAAUUGAACCCGUGACCUCCCGAUUGGGAGUUGCGCCCCCGGAAAGAUUUAUUGCAUCAUCAGCCACGGUCAAUCCACUGCUGUAUGAAGGCCUAUCCAAGCCAUCACCAUACAUAACAAUUUGGAUUUGUAAUUCAAUCGCACCUUGUUGAGACAUUACUCUCUCUGCAUGAUGAUAAAAAAA